UCUCUCUCUCUCUCUCUCUCUCUCACUCCGCGAACAGCUUUCGAAAGAUGAUGAGGUGCAGUUUUCCCCUCGCGGUCUUGUUUUCCCGCUCUUUCUUGUUUUGGAAGAAAGAAUCCCCCCCUCCGAUGGUUCUCAGAUGACACGGCAUGCCAGGGUCGCCGGAUAUGCCGGAGUGUCCUCCUCGUCUGAUCAAUGAUCAGAACACAGCAGGGUUAUUGAUAUUGGUGUUGGGAUUAGCGAUGGCAACACAAAAGAAGAACAAGAGAUUCACGUGGUUCGGUGACCAGCACCUAUGCCCAUGGCUCCUGUGUGUCAAUACAGACAAAAUUGAUGCAUGAUGAGGAACUGCAUGACUUGGAGGAUGGGGUUCAAAAUGUCAUAGAAAGUGAAAAAAAUUUUAAUAAGCCAGUAAUUAGGUGAAAAAUAUUGUUAAGCAGACAAAGCCAGUGGUUGCUGUAGACCCUUGUUCAAAAGCUGAGUUGAUUAAAAGGGCAGAGAUAUGGAGCCACACAAUAGCUGAUAUUACUCUCCUGGCUUUUGUAACAAGCUUUCCUCGGAUGUCUUUUGCUAUAAUAGAUGAUUUCUAGAACCUUGGUUGCAAAUAUGCCGGAGGUGGCAUCCCUCUUCUUGUUUCCUGAACCAGUUUAUUAGGUUUAGGUCUUGGAACACUUGUUGGUUCUGCAGCAUUUGAUCUCUUCCCCAUUCACAGUGAAGAGGAUAUCUGAUACAGGUGUAUGGCUGGUAGAACUGUUCUGCUCAUUUUGGGCAUAUGUGUGGCUCUAUAAUUUUGGAGAUCAGAUCUGUUUCCUUCUGGAAGCAUACAGAUGCUGUAUCAUCGCAUGCCUUUUGGGCGUAGGGUGCUGUCAAAUCAAUGAUAUUCCUUUCAAGGCUAUCCUGUACCAUUCGCAGGCAUUCUCAAAUUGCACAGUUAUCUCAGUAUUGCUUGAUUCAACAAUGUGGCAGAGACUUAUUUGGCCUGAAUGUGAAGUCCUCUAGUUCAACUCAGUCUUAAAUGGAAGUUUUGAAUGGGGUGUGCUCUUGAUGAAAGUGCAAAAAUGAAGCCAAUAAGAGACAUGAUCUAGCUCUAAUCAUGUUUCAGAACAUAUGACAAGGGAGCACAAUUGAGUUUCUUUUGUUGCAGUAUCUGGGACUGUGUAUGCCUUGUGCCUCAUCCUCCUUCGUUUGCUGGGAUUGUGGUGAAAUAACAAUUUGCAAGGGGAAGUCUACAUUAUAAUAUUAUAUGCUACGUGCUAAAUCCGAAACAUGUUGGGCUGCUGAUUGAUUGAAGACUGUUACCAUAUGGUCUCCUAGUCUUGUUCAUCAUGCUGUAUUUGAAGCUCCCAGGUGAGCUUUGUGUGCUUCCUGGGGCAUGUCUUUAGACAAAUUGAGUUGUAUUAGAAUGAUGUAAAGUGCAUAACAUAACCCGUAUCAGUUGGGCCAGUAUGUAUGUUGUAUUGUAAUGUUAUUUUUUUGAGUUAAAAAUUAAAAAUACAUAAUAUCAAAUAGGAAAAAUUAGAAAAAAUUCCAGAAAAUUGUGUUCUCCAUAAAGAACAUGUCACUCAUAAAUAUAGUUUUAUAGGAAUGACCGUUCAGUGAUUUAACAUAACACAAUCAUAAUGUCACAAAAUAAAACACUAAAAAAUAAGUUCAAAGUCUUAGAAAUUACAAGAUGAGAUUGUUCAACUCAUGAAAAUGAUCAAAUAUCAUAUGCUCAGAAUUCAUUAUCUAAUUAUAAUUCUUGUGAAUGAUUUUCAACCAAUCAUUUUCCUCAUCCUAGAGCACCAUUUUCAUGUGGAAUUGUCUGAAGCCAUCUAUCCCCAAAACAAUGGAAAUCUAUGGCAAUCUUCACAAAACAAUAAAAAUUUAUAGUCGUCUUCACAAAACAAUAGAAAUCUAUGGUAAGAGAUUUUUAUACAUUUCAGGAAAGAAUUCAGCAACCUCUUCAAUUACAAUUUGAUGUCUCAUGUGCAAAUCUUUCUUCAAAUUGAUGUUUCCUCUCUUAAAUUGAUAAGAGAUCCACUCAACUCAACUCCUACGAGUGUUUAGAAGUGAGGAGAGAGGGCUUUUUAGAACCCAAAUAAGAAGGGGGUUUCAACUUUCAAUUACCCCGUAUCGGAAAAAGGGGUGUAUUUUAUCGAUUUUCCAAUAGUUACAAUAUGUAUUGUAAGAUAUGUACAACUUUAGUAUUAGUACUACAUGCAUGUGGUUUAUGUAUUAUAUUAUAUUGCAGGAGUUCAUUUCACCAUCUCAUUAGUUCCUCUGGUCAGCUUCUGCAGCCAUUGCAGCUGCUAGGAUGUAGGUCAGAAGUUAAAUAAACUUGCCUGCAGCAAUUGCAGGUGGUAGGAUGCAAGUCAAAAGUUCAACUUUGUUAAUGGUUACUGCACUUUGUUAGAUGCAAAGAUUGGAACUUACAGUGACAAUUUUCUGUUCUUUCCAACUUGAAAAUUCUCAAAACUUUCAUUGCAUGGUUGUUCAUUGUACUAGUGGUUCUAAUUUUUUGUUUUUGUAAUUAAUAAUUUAUUGAAUGUAUUUUUUAUUGAACACUAUCUUUUUUUGCUCCAUUGCUAGUUAAGGAGGUGAUUGCUAGGUUGUGACAUGUAGAUGUUUUGAUGUAUAAUUUUUUUUUAUUGUUAGCACUGACAUUUUGAAUUUUGUGGACUGUUAUGGGGAAGAAAUGCCCACAUGUGGCUCCCCCAGUGCAUAUGAAAGAUUUAAAUUUAAAUUUGGUCUAUUCAAAUGCAGCCCUAAAAGAGGCAUCUCCAUCAAAAAAUAUAUUUUGUGAUUUUUAAAUUACCUUUCAGUUUACUGAUGUUUAAUGUUUAAGAAUUAGUAAUGAAAAGAAGAAAAAACAGAACUAAUUUGAUUUUAUCAUAUUUAAUGGAAGUCAUAAGCUAAUUUCUUGCAGAAAUAAAUUUGAAAAAAGAAAAUAAUAAGAGCAAGAAAUCUAAGCUAGCAUUGCAUUGCAAUUAAAGCUAUUCAAUGUUGGUUGUCUCAUUAUUUUCUAUUAUUAUCAAGGAUCAACCUAGGAAGCACAUACAAGAGAGAGUUGGGAGGUAGAAGUUUUGGAUCAUGGAGGCAAUGUGAUUCAAGUACUGUUAAGUUUAAAAUUUAGAAGUAUUUGUAACUACAUGUCUUCGCUUCUUAAGAAGGAACAGAUUGGAGCUAGGUUCUUGUGCGCUGAAAACAAGUUAAACUCUCUUAGAGGACAAGUUGAACUUAAAAGGCCAUAUUUUUGUUUGUAGCUCACCACUUGUUAUAAUAUAAUCCCUUCAAAAUUAAAGAUAUCACCUUUCUAUUUUAUAAUGUACGGUUCAUUUUUUUUUUCCAAAAUUGCCUUAAUUUUGACAUGCUUGCAAACUGUGAAAAUCGUGGGUUGACUGUUCCAUCUGGAGUCAAGAUGCAAUGGAAAUGGCCAAACGAAAUUGGCACAGGGGAUCAGGUAGUUCGUGCUUCUCCUCAUAGAGAUAGGCUGCAACCGAAUGAUUAGUCAUUAGUGGCCUGAGUGAUCAGUGGCCUUCAGUUCGUGUUAUGGUUGAUGCUGCUUCCUAACCCUUUGUCUGAUUAGGGAUUUUGGAAAUCAAGGACUGAACUAAUAUAUCUGACCUAAUAAAUCUUCUAAGAAAGUUGAUGGACAUGGACUAUUAUAUAUUCAUGUCAGUCACAAAAACAUGUUGAAAUUGUAAAAAACGCCUUUUUUUGAAUGUUUGCAUGAGAAAAACAUGAAAAAUGCAUUUGUUUGAGUUUUUUCUUUUCUUUUUAAUUUUUUCACGUUUUUCUUAAUGACAAACUGUUUUUUUUUUCAUUUUCUAAUUUUUAUUUGAUGCAAAUCUACUUAUUUUUUUAUGCUUGUAUUAUUAGUUUCUCACCUAUUUUAUUUUUCUCCCAUUUUUAGCUUUUUGAAUUUUUAAAAAUUGAAUGUAUUUUUUCCCUUUUUUCAAGGUCGCCUCUUCAUAACCGAGAAAAUCCUCGCCCUUUAAAACACGCGAAAGUUUUUGUGACUAUGGACUUCAUGUCAUACAGCCUGUAACUGUACAUACAUGGUCUAAGCUGUACCAUCAUCUAUUUCUUUUGUCUGACCCAACAUGAGUAUGACUGCUUGAUGUAUUGGAUUCGUAAAUUUGUUUGGCUAGUCUACUCUUCCUUCCAACGCGUAAGAUAUGAAUUCGGAAAUAUGAGAGAAUGACAGAAAAGGUUGGCAAAUAGUGACAUGAGAGUAGAUACUGCAUGGUUACAUUAGCAACCACAUUAGCUCUUAUAAGAAAUUGAUAAGUCAACUUCAGUCAAAAAGUGCAAGUAUGGAUGUCAGUUCCAGUAUCUUCAACAUAUAUGUAUAUAGCUACUGCUUGCCUCUCGCCAAUGACCACAGGCCUGCUGUCUUCUAGAGUCUGUUCUUGUGUACCUAAAUUGCUUUUUAGAUACUCUCGACUGGAUCUCCUCUCUUGUACCUUGCAGCCCGACCUUUUGGAGUGUCGGUGCUAAUCUGUUGAACUUAUAACAUGAUGACCCCCUUUUCUAGAAACAAUCAGGAAUAGGUCUGAGUGUUCAUUCCAUUUAAUUAAUCUAUGUGACAUGGGUAUGG